UACAGGGGGGGCAAGCGUUGUUCGGAAUUACUGGGCGUAAAGGGCUCGUAGGCGGCCAACUAAGUCCGACGUGAAAUCCCAAAGCUUAACUUUGGAACUGCGUCGGAUACUGGAUGGCUUGAAUUCGGGAGAGGGAUGCAGAAUUCCAGGUGUAGCGGCGAAAUGCGUAGAUAUCUGGAGGAAUACCGGUGGCGAAGGCGGCAUCCUGGACCGACAUUGACGCCGAGGAGCGAAAGCUAGGGGAGCAAACGGG
rnacentral:rRNA from 1 species